AGGCUUGUACAGGUGCUGCAUGGCUGUCGUCAGCUCGUGUCGUGAGAUGUCGUUAAGUCCGCUAACGAGCGCAACCCUCGCUGUGUGUUACAAGUGUCACACGGAACUGCCGGUCAUAAACCGGAGGAAGGUGGGGAUGACGUCAAGUCAGCAUGGCCUUUAUAUCCUGGGCUACACACACGCUACAAUGGGAAGGGACAAUAGGUUGCGAAGCCGCGAGGCGGAGCCAAUCCAGCAAAACUUCCCUCAGUUCAGAUUGCAGGCUGCAACCCGCCUGCAUGAAGUUGGAGUUGCUAGUAAACGCAGGUCAGCCAUACUGCGUUGAAUACGUUCCCGGGGCUU
rnacentral:rRNA from 1 species